UUCAUUGAAAUGAAGUUUGGCUGGAUCUUCACUAUCUGGGUAGGGACGCAGUAAAAAAGUUUUCAAUGGGUAGCCU
rnacentral:pre_miRNA from 1 species